GGGGCGGAGUCCCGGGCUUGUCCUCCCUGCGAGCGGCUCCUCCAAGGAGGGAGUACUUGCUGCAUUUGAUCCUCUACAACUGGUGUUGCUCCCGUUAUGCGGACAGAAGACAGCCCCAGGGAACAAAUGCUAGGAAAUGGCAGGGUGAGAAAACUGAGGCAUAGAGAGGUUACAAUAUAACUUAGAUCUCCCAGCUGGCAAGUAAUGGUUUAAGCCAGGAGCCUACACACUUCCUCCUACUUCCUCUAUGGGUGCUGGUGAUCUGCCGACUCCUAGACAUCCAGCUUUAAGGUCCUCAGUGAAGCUUCUCUGCCCCCAGGCCUGUCCAUGUCAGAGCACCAUGGGUGUCCCUUUGAAAGUGUCUCCUACAGGUCUGUGAUUAUGCGGUCUAUGUGUAAACCAAAGGGUUCCAAGAGUUUUGGCCUUCCAACUAUUUUU
rnacentral:lncRNA from 1 species